UGAAGAGUUUGAUCAUGGCUCAGAUUGAACGCUGGCAGCAGGCCUAACAUACAAGUCGAGCGGAAACGAUGGAAGCUUGCUUCCAGGCGUCGAGCGGCGGACGGGUGAGUAAUGCAUAGGAAUCUGCCCGGUAGUGGGGAUAACCUGGGGAAACUCAGGCUAAUACCGCAUACGUCCUACGGGAGAAAGCAGGGGACCUUCGGGCCUUGCGCUAUCGGAUGAGCCUAUGUCGGAUUAGCUGGUUGGUGGUAACGGCUCACCAAGGCGACGAUCCGUAGCUGGUCUGAAGGAUGAUCAGCCACAUCGGGACUGAGACACGGCCCGAACUCCUACGGAGGCAGCAGUGGGGAUUGGACAAUGGGGGCAACCCUGAUCCAGCCAUGCGCGUGUGUGAAAGGCUUUCCGGGUUGUAAAGCACUUUCAGUGGGGAAGAAGGCUUUCCGGUUAUACCCGGAGGACAUCACCCACAGAAGAAGCACCGGCUAACUCCGUGCCAGCAGCCGCGGUAAUACGGAGGUGCGAGCGUUAAUCGGAAUGACUGGGCGUAAAGCGCGCGUAGGCGGCUUGGUAAGCCGGUUGUGAAAGCGGGCUCAGGAGAUGGCAUCGGAACUGUCAGGCUAGAGUGCAGGAGAGGAAGGUAGAAUUCCCGGUGUAGCGGUGAAAUGCGUAGAGAUCGGGAGGAAUACCAGUGGCGAAGGCGGCCUUCUGGACUGACACUGACGCUGAGGUGCAGCGUGGGUAGCAACAGGAUUAGAUACCCUGGUAGUCCACGCCGUAAACGAUGUCGACUAGCCGUUGGGGUCCUCGAGACCUUUGUGGCGCAGUUAACGCGAUAAGUCGACCGCCUGGGAGUACGGCCGCAAGGUUAAAACUCAAAUGAAUUGACGGGGCCCGCACAAGCGGUGGAGCAUAUGGUUUAAUUCGAUGCAACGCGAAGAACCUUACCUACCCUUGACAUCCUCGGAAGCCUGCAGAGAUGCGGGUGUGCCUUCGGGAGCCAGUGACAGGUGCUGCAUGGCCGUCGUCAGCUCGUGUUGUGAAAUGUUGGGUUAAGUCCCGUAACGAGCGCAACCCUUGUCCCUAUUUGCCAGCGAUUCGGUCGGGAACUCUAGGAGACUGCCGGUGACAAACCGGAGGAAGGUGGGGACGACGUCAGGUCAUCAUGGCCCUUACGGGUAGGGCUACACGUGCUACAAUGGUCGGUACAAAGGGUUGCGAGUUCGCGAGGACGAGCCAAUCCAAAAGCCGAUCUCAGUCCGGAUCGGAGUCUGCAACUCGACUCCGUGAAGUCGGAAUCGCUAGUAAUCGUGAAUCAGAAUGUCACGGUGAAUACGUUCCCGGGCCUUGUACACACCGCCCGUCACACCAUGGGAGUGGACUGCACCAGAAGUGGUUAGCCUAACCUUCGGGAGGGCGAUCACCACGGUGUGGUUCAUGACUGGGGUGAAAUCGUAACAAAGGUAGCCGUAGGGGAACCUGCGGCUGGAUCACCUCCUU
rnacentral:rRNA from 1 species